UUAUAUAAAUAUGACAAAAACAUGAGAAUGGUAACGAUAUCUCGAGUGAAAAAUGUGGUUAACAAGAAACAGUUUAGCACAUUAAUAGUGGACUACUACCGUGUAUAUAGACAAGAGAAAAAGCUCCUAUAUAGCAAUUAAACUCCAUAACUGUGGGACCAAUGUAACUGCAUUAACGAGCUCACAGCAAUGUAACCUACCGACGAGGUCUGUGGGCAAGUAAUUCCGUUUCUCUACAACUGUACCGAUUUUAAACCCAGUCGACACCUUAAUCACAUCAUUCGCCGUCUAUGUGGUUCAGUUAUAUGACCCAUCACUUUAGGUCUCCCAGCAGUCGUCACUUUAGGUCUCCCAGCAGUCGUCACUUUAGGUCUCCCAGCAGUCGUCACUUUAGGUCUCCCAGCAGUCGUCACUUUAGGUCUCCCAGCAGUCGUCACUUUAGGUCUCCCAGCAGUCGUCACUUUAGGUCUCCCAGCAGUCGUCACUUUAGGUCUCCCAGCAGUCAUCACUUUCAGGUCCUCUUCAAUUCUCCACUACACUGUUUACAAGUAGUAUUGGAUCUUUAAUGUAGCAAGUGUUGUAAAAUUCUGGUCUUAAAGGAGCCUAAACUUGGUACCAUAACUACUCAGAUUAUUUAUUACAAGUCAACAACUCUUACUGUAUCUUGUAUACUUUUGGCUGUGACCUCUACUGAAGGAGGUACAGUAUAGUAUCCAGUUCUUCUUUCUGGGUGGGGGGGGGGUGUUUGUCAGGUUUCGAGUGGUCAUAAAUCUGUACUCUCGACAAGAUUUCACCUACAGUACACUGAAGAUCCGAAUACAUACAGUUUUUGCCAUACAAGAUGCAUUUCGCUUGUUAAAUGGCCCAUGAUAUCAAGCUUCAUCUUGCAUCUAUGCAGUAUUACCUUAGUCCAUCACUGUCUCUGUUGAACAUCUCUCGAUACACUAUAAACAACGUACUGUGAAUAAUUCGUACUGUAUAUCAUUGGGAGAUUUUUAUAAAUACUUAUUCAGAUAUAAAGAACUUAAUUUAGUACUAAAGCAGGGAGUUAUGCAGCAUUAAGAGAGAAAAAAAGACAAAAAUAAGAUACAUCUAAGCUGGGCACAAACUCAAAUUAGAGAAGAGCCAAGAAACUGCCAAAUACGCAGUACAGUACAGUACACUGAAGCCAUCAAGAGAUAUUGACAUGGUCUUACCUGAUCCAAGUGAACAGUGUCUCAACUUUUCAAAGACACAAACACUUAUAAAACCAAUUACAUAUUUUCACACACAGUA